rnacentral:rRNA from 1 species
ACUUUUAACAAUGGAUCUCUAGGCUCUCAUAUCGAUGAAGAACACAGUGAAAUGUGAUAAUUAAUGUGAAUUGCAGAAUUCAGUGAAUCAUCAAGUUUUUGAACGCACCUUGCACCUUUUGGUAUUCCAAAAGGUACACCUGUUUGAGUGUCAU